UACGAAGGGUGCAAGCGUUGUUCGGAAUUCUUGGGCUUAAAGGGUUCGUGGGCGGGAUUGUAAGUCAAGUGUGAAAUCCCCGAGCUUAACUCGGGACGUGCAUUUGAAACUGUGAUUCUUGAGUCAUUGAGAGGGUGGUGGAAUUGUUGGUGUAGGAGUGACAUCCGUAGAGAUCAACAGGAACAUCAGAGGCGAAAGCGGCCACCUGGCAAUGUACUGACGCUGAGGAACGAAAGCGUGGGGAGCAAACAGG
rnacentral:rRNA from 1 species